rnacentral:lncRNA from 1 species
UUUUUUUCAUGGUGCAGAUUAAGGAAGAAAUGAAAGGGUUGGCCUGUGAACUACUGAUGAACUAUGAAGCAAACGCCUUUCACUGUUCCAGACGCACAGCUCACCAACGUUUCUGUGCUGUGACCCACCGAAGGCUUUCAGUUGCUUUAUAACAACUUGUGCAGUGGUAAUUUAGAACAUGAAUUUAAACAAUGAAAGAAAAUAAAAGCCUAAUAUUUUGGAGUAUAAAAUUUUUUUACUUUUGAAAGAAAUCAAAUAAAAAUUGCAUGAUUUGCUGAAAUAAAGGUAUAAAAAAAUAAUUACCCAUAAUUCCUUGUCACAUCAAUAUGAUUCUAAAUGCUUCUAAACUACGCAGUAGUAGUAGAAGAAAACAAUGUCAUAACCAAAACCCUUCAUUAUCUUCAUUAAAGUACCGUAGCUACAGUUAAACAGUAGUUCUCUUCACUUCUGUUUUGUUUCACAACCCACAAUUUAUUCACCAAAACAUUUUGACAGGGUUAUUAAAUAAUAUUAACCCAAUAAUGACUUUUUCUUUUGCGAUUCAUUGAAACAAGGCACAUCAGAGGUAGAACAUUCCUUCAGAAGCAUUUGUGCUGAAGGUAGUUCCUUAGAUAGCUAGCUACAGCCUGAGACCACAGCACCCCAGCAGAGAGGAUCCUCUGACAGCUAGCUACAGCCUGAGACCAGAGCACCCCAGCAGACAGGAACCUCUGACAGCUAGCUACAGCCUGAGACCAGAGCACCCCAGCAGACAGGAUCCUCUGACAGCUAGCUACAGCCUGAGACCACAGCACCCCAGCAGACAGGAUCCUUGGACAGCUAGCUACAGCCUGAGACCACAGCACCCCAGCAGACAGGAUCCUCUGACAGCUAGCUAAAGCCUGAGACCACAGCACCCCAGCAGACAGGAUCCUCUGACAGCUAGCUACAGCCUGAGACCACAGCACCCCAGCAGACAGGAUCCUGUGACCACAGCACCCCAGCAGACAGGAUCCUCUGACAGCUAGCAACAGCCUGAGACCACAGCACCCCAGCAGACAGGAUCCUCUGACAGCUAGCUACAGCCUGAGACCACAGCACCCCAGCAGACAGGAUCCUCUGACAGCUAGCUACAGCCUGAGACCAGAGCACCCCAGCAGACAGGAUCCUCUGACAGCUAGCUACAGCCUGAGACCAGAGCACCCCAGCAGACAGGAUCCUCUGACAGCUAGCUACAGCCUGAGACCAGAGCACCCCAGCAGACAGGAACCUCUGACAGCUAGCUACAGUCUGAGACCACAGCACCCCAGCAGACAGGAUCCUUGGACAGCUAGCUACAGCCUGAGACCAGAACACCCCAGCAGACAGGAUCCUCUGACAGUUAGCUACAGUCUGAGACCAGAGCACCCCAGCAGACAGGCUCCUUAGACAGCUAGCUACAGCCUGAGACCAGAGCACUCCAGCAGACAGGAACCUCUGACAGCUAGCUACAGUCUGAGACCAGAGCACCCCAGCAGACAGGAUCCUCUGACAGCUAGCUACAGCCUGAGACCAGAGCACCCCAGCAGACAGGAACUUCUGACAGCUAGCUACAGUCUGAGACCACAGCACCCCAGCAGACAGGUUCCUUGGACAGCUAGCUACAGCCUGAGACCAGAACACCCCAGCAGACAGGAUCCUCUGACAGCUAGCUACAGUCUAAGACCAGAGCACCCCAGCAGACAGGCUCCUUAGACAGCUAGCUACUGCCUGAGACCAGAGCACCCCAGCAGACAGGCUCCUUAGACAGCUAGCUACAGUCUGAGACCAGAGCACUCCGGCAGGCAGGCAGGCAGGCAGGCAGGCAGGCAGGCAGGCAGGCAGGCAGACAGACAGACAGACAGACAGACAGACAGACAGACAGACAGACAGACAGACAGACAGACAGACAGACAGACAGACAGACAGACAGACAGACAGAGGUUGGGUAGCAGGGACAGGCAGAGCCUCUGUGCAAUAUCCACACUGGGGUUCCUGGUCUUUAAUCUAGCAGUACUGGGACUAGUGGUUCUGAUUGGGUCUGGUUCCUCUCUGGACACAAAAGUCAGGACCAGGAGGGUUCUGGAGGACGAACACUAGGCAGGGUCCACCAAUGCCUGGAUCUGAGACGCCUCCCCCUCACCACCUAAUAGAGACAGAAUAGGGUGACAGGGUAGAUUUGUAGAGAUGUUGCCAUAAACAACUGCAUCACUUUUCAUUUGUGGCUUGACACAUACAGACACAUACAGUAAUACAAAAUGAGAUUGGAAUUCAGCAUAUCAUGAUUACAUCAUGUGUCACAAAUCUAAAGUGAGCACCUACUAAAUGACCAAAACUCCUGCAGGAAAGAGGCAAUGAGGCUCUAGGGUUGCAGAUGCAGGCGAUAUUAUGGAAUGGCGCCUUGGUCUCACCUUUCACUGGCUCUGGUCCUGGAAGGUAGCCUGGUGGAACCAGCCUGAUGUUGCGAUAGCUCAUAUUCUGUGAGCGCAGGAGUCAGUUUGCUUGACAAGAUUAUCUGGCUGGCAACAAGGGCCUAGGAAUAGGAGCAAGUAUGAGGAAUGUGUUGGAGUCUUGGUGUUACCUCUUCCUGUCUCUGCAUUGGCCACAUAGAUGAACUCAUCCACCUCCUGACAUACUUCCUGGACCUGAGGGGCGGGACUGAAAUAUGGCUGUCCUGAUUGGUCCGUUCUUUCCAGGAUGAAGAGGUUUCUGCUGAGACUCUGCUGCUUCACACUGGCUCUCUUCCUCUCCGCCCUACACACACAACCACAACAGGUUAUUAUAGACAUAUACACACACGUAACCAUAUGAACGCAAGGUGUACAUUACCUCAAAUGGUAACAGAC